rnacentral:rRNA from 1 species
UAAUACCGGAUGCUUGAUUGAACCCGCAUGGUUUCAAUCAUAAAAAGGUGGCUUUYAGCUACCCACUUACAGAUGGACCCGCGGCGCAUUAGCUAGUUGGUGAGGUAACGGCUCACCAAGGCGACGAUGCGUAGCCGACCUGAGAGGGUGAUCGGCCACACUGGGACUGAGAACACGGCCCAGACUCCUACGGGAGGCAGCAGUAGGGAAUCUUCCGCAAUGGACGAAAGUCUGACGGAGCAACGCCGCGUGAGUGAUGAAGGUUUUCGGAUCGUAAAACUCUGUUGUUAGGGAAGAACAAGUACCGUUCGAAUAGGGCGGYACCUUGACGGUACCUAACCAGAAAGCCACGGCUAACUACGUGCCAGCAGCCGCGGUAAUACGUAGGUGGCAAGCGUUGUCCGGAAUUAUUGGGCGUAAAGCGCGCGCAGGCGGUUUCUUAAGUCUGAUGUGAAAGCCCCCGGCUCAACCGGGGAGGGUCAUUGGAAACUGGGGAACUUGAGUGCAGAAGAGGAGAGUGGAAUUCCACGUGUAGCGGUGAAAUGCGUAGAGAUGUGGAGGAACACCAGUGGCGAAGGCGACUCUCUGGUCUGUAACUGACGCUGAGGCGCGAAA